CUACGGGACGCACCAGUGGGGAAUAUUGCACAAUGGGCGCAAGCCUGAUGCAGCCAUGCCGCGUGUAUGAAGAAGGCCUUCGGGUUGUAAAGUACUUUCAGCGGGGAGGAAGGGAGUAAAGUUAAUACCUUUGCUCAUUGACGUUACCCGCAGAAGAAGCACCGGCUAACUCCGUGCCAGCAGCCGCGGUAAUACGGAGGGUGCAAGCGUUAAUCGGAAUUACUGGGCGUAAAGCGCACGCAGGCGGUUUGUUAAGUCAGAUGUGAAAUCCCGGGGCUCAACCUGGGAACUGCAUCUGAUACUGGCAAGCUUGCGUCUCGUAGAGGGGGGUAGAAUUCCAGGUGUAGCGGUGAAAUGCGUAGAGAUCUGGAGGAAUACCGGUGGCGAAGGCGGCCCCCUGGACGAAGACUGACGCUCAGGUGCGAAAGCGUGGGGAGCAAACAGGAUUAGAUACCCUCGUAUUC
rnacentral:rRNA from 1 species